rnacentral:rRNA from 1 species
GCGGACGGGUGAGUAACACGUGGAUAACCUACCUAUAAGACUGGGAUAACUUCGGGAAACCGGAGCUAAUACCGGAUAAUAUAUUGAACCGUAUGGUUCAAUAGUGAAAGACGGUUUUGCUGUCACUUAUAGAUGGAUCCGCGCCGCAUUAGCUAGUUGGUAAGGUAACGGCUUACCAAGGCAACGAUGCGUAGCCGACCUGAGAGGGUGAUCGGCCACACUGGAACUGAGGCACGGUCCAG